ensembl:lncRNA LINC02312 long intergenic non-protein coding RNA 2312
GACUCAAAAGAGGGCAGAGCCCUGCAAAGAAGGUCUUAUCAGCUGCUGUUUGUGGGUCUAAGAAGCUGUGAGAAGUCUGGUUCUGGGAAUGGAGAAAGAAGGUAGAGAUAGAGUCAAUUGCUGCUGCUGCUGGAGCAACACUGAAAAGGAAUAAGAAACACCAAGAAUAAAGUUCUUUUUACUCCUCCUAACUUCCUGUCUCCUUCCUGUGACUUCCAUUGGCACAACGCAACAGGAAGCCAAGGAUACCGCAGCCUGGGAAAUGGAUUUCAUAAAGGGCAACUCCAGCAACAGAUAACAGAGCAGAGAAGUGUUUCCUUGGGGCUGGGAACCCGUGAAAUCUGAUGGCACACUGGAGCGUGUCCGUGAGCGGAGGAGGGAAGUGCAAUGGGUGUGUUCACCUUUCCUUGCUGCCCAUUAAUGCAGCAUGCUCAUGAUGCCCCAGAUGCCCCAUGAAUGUGGAAUUGUGAGGGACCCGCCAGCAUGGGAGUUCAGAGAGGCUCAAAGUGAGUCCAAGGUAAGUCAUAUUUUCUAUCCAAACCAGGAUUUGCAUCAAAUGAAGAAAGAAGGCACCAGGAUUCUAACAGACACCAGGGCAAGGGACCCCCUCACAUCCUUCCUUACUCGUGUUGCUUCCCUGCAUUGGCCAACUAUGCCCAUUGAAAUUGGUGUUUAGGAGGAAAGGGGAGGGCAGGGCCCAGAUUUCCCGUUCCUCUCAGUCCCCCUCAUUCCCUGUGAGAGGAAGGUAAAGAGUGCGGAUGAAACGUGCACGUAUCAAGAAGUGAAAGGAAAACAGGUGAGCUUGUUUCGUGCAGCAUUUCCAGUGUCCUGGUAAGAACUAAAUUCAUGGACACAUAGGAACUGCAACAUAUGAACUGUGAAAUUUGGGUAAUUUUAUGUAAGAGUUAAUUGCUACUAUAGCCAAAUUUAAAAUUGUCAUGGCACAACAUAAACAGUAAAAUCCACGCUAAUAAUUUAAAGCUUAUUUUUUAGUUAGAAAAACAUGAAAAAUACAAAUAAAAAACACUACAAAAUGAGAGAAUCUGCUGAAAAAAAUGAAAACGGCUUAUGCUUUAGUCCCUUUAAUAAUACUUUUUUCCUGCUUUUCAAGUAAGGGGUUCACAGUUUUAUUUUGCACCAGGAACUAAAUUAUACAGUUGGUUCUGCCAUUGGGUUUACAAAGGUAGCUACACACCUUCAAGAGCUGCAAAGAUAAGAAAUGUUUGCUAUUCAUCCCUCAAACAUCCCUUCGAGAAGUCAAUUCUCCAUCAUGACCUCAGCCCUCAGCCUUCUCCAGUUCCUGAGAUCAGCCUUGGAGAAUGUAGAAUUGGGACCGGCCUGUCACUGGGAUUAGCAAGUCAUCAUUCCUACCAAUAAGUAGGGACCAGAAUUGUGGUAGCGUGAAUUCCAAGGAGGAUCAUCAUAUACAGUUGUGCAGGUUAUGCACUGCACCACGCCAAGCACAACAUGAACAUUCUUAUCCCUGGAAUUAUGCACUCACACAGCUGUACAUACUGGCCCUGGAAGUUGGCUUUCCUGAAUGGACCCCUAGGACUGGCCUGCUCACCAAAUCCCUUCCCUCCUUCAUGCCACCUUAUCUGAAGUUAGGAGACUGGGCCUCAGUUUCCCUGCACAACACGCUGGUUCUAUGCUAGGACUAUAUUCCAUCCUUUUCCCUUAGGUUGAUCAGACAGGUCCAAAAGAGCAGAGUUUCUACUAUGAAUGAACUACUUAGAACCAGCGUCUAAGGUCAGCAGAGACUAGAAUGCACUCUUCAUCCAGUAGCCUCCAUAACCUGGGUCUGUCACCACCACCCCCAUCAGUACAUAACCUGGGAAGUGGAUCUCAUCUCCAUGAGACCUUGAAACCUCUGCCUUCUGAGCAGUCCCUGUCCCCGGGCUUCUCCACUGCAGCUUACUCAUCGUCACCCACAGGAGCUGUUAGCUCCAGAAUCUUUACUAAAGGCCCGCAUCCUGAACACAGCCUACUACACGAGGCUGCGGCUGAGCACUCAGGACAAUCGCUCAGGACAAAUAACCCUCCCAUUGCCCUUAAACAUCCCUGGUUCCCUUUGUUCCAAUCCCAUCCUUGUGGGAUUCUGACCUCUUGGCUCUCUCAUCCAACGGGUUACCCUCCCCUUGACUCCUUUGAUUUUACUUUUUGUGGGCUCUCUUCUAACUAUGUGAACUCAGAUCCCUCUGUGAGAGUGAGUUGCACAUCUGAUUCACCUGUGGGGUUGUUAAAGGUCCAUGUGCCUGGCUCUCACCCUAGACUAUUCUAACUCAGAGUGCCCCCCAGGGAAACAAUGUAAGGUAGCAAUUAAGGACAUUGACUCUGGCAUCACAAGUUUGAGUCUAUCCUGUCUCUGCCACUCGUAAUCUAUGUGAUCUUUGGGGAUGCUUUCCCUUUCUCUGAAUCAGUUUCUUUGUCUCUAAAAUGGGAAUGAGAGUGUUAGUACAUACCCCCCAGGAUGGGCAGAAAAAUUGAAUAAGCUAAUGCAUGCAGAGGAUUCAAAUACGGCCUGGCACAUGGCAUGUGUUCAAUAACAAGUUAACUGCAUUGCUAUUAUUGUUAUCCAAAAAGUGACAGAUUUUACUUUGCCCUCCGUGUUUGGUUCUCGGUGCCUGGUUUUGCUUACUUAAGAGUCCCUUUACCUUGGUCUCGGCCAAGCAAGACCAGCCCCGCCCCUGACUCAUGGGUUUGAACAUCUAGAUCAGAUCUAGCCACUCAUCACCACCCUGGGCACCCAUGGCUUUAGUUUUCUACUGCCUCCUCUCCUACCAGUGCCAGGCAAACCUUUGCUUGUGAUUCAAAACCCAACUGGAAUGCUUGGUCUUUUCCUAAGUCUUCCUCAAUGUUCCUCUGUAUUCAUGUGCUCCUAGAAUUCUUUAUUCAGCACAUUUUAUCCUAAUUACUGGUUACUUGUCUGGCUCUUGCUUAGGCACAAAACCUGCAAUUUAACUUUCCUCUAACAUGGGACCUUAACAUGAUGCAUAUAAUAGGUGUUCAAUAAAUGAUGUUUCUUCCAAUAAAUAUCUAUUUCAUC